rnacentral:piRNA from 1 species
UGUCUGUUUAUCAGAUAUUUUUGGCAGUUA